rnacentral:rRNA from 1 species
UGAACGCUAGCGACAGGCUUAACACAUGCAAGUCGAGGGGUAACAGGGUAGCAAUACCGCUGACGACCGGCGCACGGGUGAGUAACGCGUAUGCAACCUGCCUAUAACUGGGGAAUAGCUCCCUGAAAGGGGAAUUAACACCGCAUAACACUAUUGAUUCGCAUGGAUUGGUAGUUAAAUGUAGCGAUACAGGUUAUAGAUGGGCAUGCGUGACAUUAGCUAGUUGGUGAGGUAACGGCUCACCAAGGCUACGAUGUCUAGGGGUUCUGAGAGGAACGGUCCCCACACUGGUACUGAGACGCGGACCAGACUCCUACGGGAGGCAGCAGUGAGGAAUAUUGGUCAAUGGGCGCAAGCCUGAACCAGCCAUGUCGCGUGCAGGAAGACUGCCCUUAAGUGGGUUAGUAAACUGUCUUUUAUAGUAGAAGAAACACAUCUACGUGUAGAUGUCUGCCAGUAUACUAUGAAUAAGCAUCGGCUAACUCCGUGCCAGCCGCAGC